rnacentral:rRNA from 1 species
UUUUUAUUGAGAGUUUGAUCCUGGCUCAGGACGAACGCUGGCGGCGUGCCUAACACAUGCAAGUCGAGCGAUGAAGCUUCUUUGGAAGUGGAUUAGCGGCGGACGGGUGAGUAACACGUGGGCAACCUGCCUCAUAGAGAGGGAUAGCCUUUCGAAAGGAAGAUUAAUACCUCAUAAGAUUGUAGUUUCGCAUGAAACGGCAAUAAAAGGAGUAAUCCGCUAUGAGAUGGGCCCG